rnacentral:rRNA from 1 species
AUUGAACGCUGGCGGCAGGCCUAACACAUGCAAGUCGAACGAGUGGCGGACGGGUGAGUAAUGUCUGGGAAACUGCCUGAUGGAGGGGGAUAACUACUGGAAAAGGUAGCUAAUACCGCAUACCAUCAGAUGUACCCAGAUGUGAUUUGCUUGUUGGUGGGGGAACGGCUCACCAAGGCGACGAGCACUAGCUGGUCUGAGAGGAUGACCAGCAACACUGGAACUGGGACACGGGCCAGAAUCGUACGUGAGGCAGCAGUGGGGAUUAUUGCACAAGGGGCGCAAGCCUGAUGCAGCCAAGCCGCGUGUAUGAAGCAGGCCUUCGGGUUGUAAAGUACUUUCAGCGUGGAGGCGUUACCCGCAGAAGAAGCACCGGCUAACUCCGUGCCAGCAGCCGCGGUAAUAC